UUAAUAAUCUUUGCUGAAUAUAAAAGGUUGAAACUGUUACAUCGAGUUAUAGAACAGCAAUUUUAUCGAUUCAAAAUGGCAACAAAAAUUGCUCUGUCCGUGUUCUGUUUGGCCUUGCUGGUAUGCACUCAAGCUAAUCCAGCAAUAAUUAAGGAAAAUUUGAAGUCUGAGGAUCACGAUAUUCACCAAUGUGCUGAUCCAACUAAGGCUACUCUUGUAUUAAUGGACCAAACGGUCGAGAUGGCCGCAAGUUUCUUAACUGUACAUAAAAAAACAGUCAACUUUCCAGACUCUGGUGUAAACACUCACAUUAUUAGUUGCCUUAUUGUUGAAAAUGAAUUAGGGGAUGAUGGUGGUUAUGCAUCUUUAGAACCAAACACUGGAGUGGGAUACUAUACCAGUAAAAUAUAUUUGGAGUCGCAGAGAGGCAAAGCCAUGAAGUUCCACGUUCAAAUCUUUGCCACAGCUAAUAAUACUGGUUCUUAUAUCAUUUAGAUUUACUGCAAUAUGUCUAUUUUUUAUUUGUCAAUUAAAUUGCUGUUAAUGAACAAAAACCAAUACUUUUGCUGAAUAAUUCAAGUCCAUACGAAAUAAAAAAAAAAUCUGUUAUUACUCAUUAAUAAGUAAAACCAUUGCAAUAAAAUAGA